rnacentral:tRNA from 1 species
AUAUUAUAAUAUAAAAUUGCAAAUUUUAAGAUGAAAAAAAAAUUCUAAGGCUUAAAGA